UAGAACAUAGUGCUAAUUCACUGGAUCCCAUUAGAACUCCAUAGUUAAGAUCGCUCAUGCUAGAGUAGUACUAGGAUGGGUGACCGCCCAAGAAUUCCUAGUGUUUUAC
rnacentral:rRNA from 1 species